UUGAGACGCGGCAUACGGCUCAGUAACACGUGGCUAACCUACCCUCAGGACAGGGACAAACCCGGGAAACUGGGGCUAAUACCAGAUAGGCGAGGACGCCUGGAAUGGUUCUUCACCCAAAGGACCUUGGAAACAUGCUUCCAAGUCGCCUGGGGAUGGGGCCGCGUCCGAUCAGGUUGUUAGUGAGGUAACGGCUCACCAAGCCUAUAACCGGUACGGGCCGUGAGAGCGGUAGCCCGGAUAUGGGCACUGAGACAAGGGCCCAUGCCCUACGGGGCGCAGCAGUCGCUAAAACUCCGCAAUGCACGAAAGUGUGACGGGGCUACCCCGAGUGCCGUCCGCUGAGGAUGGCUUUUCCUCGGUGUAACUAGCCGGGGGAAUAAGGAGAGGGCAAGACUGGUGUCAGCCGCCGCGGUAAUACCAGCUCUCCGAGUGGUAGGGACGAUUAUUGGGC
rnacentral:rRNA from 1 species